rfam:Angiostrongylus costaricensis strain Costa Rica genome assembly, scaffold: ACOC_contig0003384
GACCGCUUGGGGCAAUGGUAGCGCGUUCGACUCCAGAUCGAAAGCUAGGGCGUUCGUUCCGCUCAAUAGUCA